rnacentral:rRNA from 1 species
ACGGGAGGCAGCAGUGGGGCAUAUUGCACAAUGGGGGAAACCCUGAUGCAGCGACGCCGCGUGAGUGAAGAAGUUAUUCGUAAUGUAAAGCUCUAUCAGCAGGGCAGAAAAUGACGGUACCUGACUAAGAAGCCCCGGCUAACUACGUGCCAGCAGCCGCGGUAAUACGUAGGGGGCAAGCGUUAUCCGGAUUUACUGGGUGUAAAGGGAGCGUAGACGGUCUGGCAAGGCUGAUGUGAAAGGCAGGGGCUCCACUCCUGGACUGCAUUGGAAACUGUCGGUCUUGAGUGCCGGAGAGGUAAGCGGAAUUCCUAGUGUAGCGGUGAAAUGCGUAGAUAUUAGGAGGAACACCAGUGGCGAAGGCGGCUUACUGGACGGUAACUGACGUUGAGGCUCGAAGGCGUGGGGAGCAAACAGGAUUAGAUACCCUGGUA